rnacentral:rRNA from 1 species
AAUAGAUACCCCGGUAGUCCACGCCGUAAACGAUGAGUGCUAAGUGUUAGAGGGUUUCCGCCCUUUAGUGCUGCAGCUAACGCAUUAAGCACUCCGCCUGGGGAGUACGACCGCAAGGUUGAAACUCAAAGGAAUUGACGGGGGCCCGCACAAGCGGUGGAGCAUGUGGUUUAAUUCGAAGCAACGCGAAGAACCUUACCAGGUCUUGACAUCCCCUUGACCUCCCUAGAGAUAGGGAUUUCCCUUCGGGGACAAGGGUGACAGGUGGUGCAUGGUUGUCGUCAGCUCGUGUCGUGAGAUGUUGGGUUAAGUCCCGCAACGAGCGCAACCCUUGAGAUUAGUUGCCAGCAUUUAGUUGGGCACUCUAAUCUGACUGCCGGUGACAAACCGGAGGAAGGUGGGGAUGACGUCAAAUCAUCAUGCCCCUUAUGACCUGGGCUACACACGUGCUACAAUGGAUGGUACAAAGGGCAGCGAAGCCGCGAGGCUUAGCCAAUCCCAUAAAACCAUUCUCAGUUCGGAUUGCAGGCUGCAACC